rnacentral:misc_RNA from 1 species
CGCGCAAAGCUCUUUUUUUUUUAAAGACCUUUUUCGGAAGGUAUGCUUAAAGAGGGGCUUGCGCUCACAUUAGUUAGUUGGCAGGGUAAAGGCCUACCAAGACUAUGAUGUGUAGCUGGACUGAGAGGUUGAACAGCCACAUUGGGACUGAGACACGGCCCAAACUCCUACGGGAGGCAGCAGUAGGGAAUUUUCGGCAAUGGAGGAAACUCUGACCGAGCAACGCCGCGUGAACGAUGAAGUAUUUCGGUAUGUAAAGUUCUUUUAUUGAAGAAGAAAAAAUAGUGGAAAAACUAUCUUGACGAUAUUCAAUGAAUAAGCCCCGGCAAACUAUGUGCCAGCAGCCGCGGUAAUACAUAGGGGGCGAGCGUUAUCCGGAAUUAUUGGGCGUAAAGGGUGCGUAGGCGGGUUAAUAAGUCUAUAGUUUAAUUUCAGUGCUUAACACUGUCCUGCUAUAGAAACUAUUAGACUAGAGUGAGAUAGAGGCAAGUGGAAUUCCAUGUGUAGCGGUAAAAUGCGUAAAUAUAUGGAGGAACACCAGAGGCGUAGGCGGCUUGCUGGGUCUUUACUGACGCUGAGGCACGAAAGCGUGGGGAGCAAACAGGAUUAGAUACCCUGGUAGUCCACGCCGUAAACGAUGAGUACUAAGUGUCGGGAUUACUCGGUACUGAAGUUAACACAUUAAGUACUCCGCCUGAGUAGUACGUACGCAAGUAUGAAACUUAAAGGAAUUGACGGGACUCCGCACAAGCGGUGGAUCAUGUUGUUUAAUUCGAAGAUACACGAAAAACCUUACCAGGUCUUGACAUACUCUGCAAAGCUAUAGCAAUAUAGUGGAGGUUAUCAGGGAUACAGGUGGUGCAUGGUUGUCGUCAGCUCGUGUCGUGAGAUGUUAGGUUAAGUCCUAAAACGAGCGCAACCCUUGUCAUUAGUUGCCAGCAUGUCAUGAUGGGCACUUUAAUGAGACUGCCAAUGAAAAAUUGGAGGAAGGUGAGGAUCACGUCAAAUCAUCAUGCCCCUUAUGAUCUGGGCUACAAACGUGAUACAAUGGCUGUUACAAAGAGUAGCUGAAACGCAAGUUUAUAGCCAAUCUCAUAAAAGCAGUCUCAGUUCGGAUUGAAGUCUGCAACUCGACUUCAUGAAGUUGGAAUCGCCUAGUAAUCCGCCG